rnacentral:misc_RNA from 1 species
GUCUUCUCAAAUGUCAAUAGAUCUUCAAACGUGAUAUAGUUCUGUAAAGAAUUCAAAUAACUAUCAUUCCAUUUGUCCAUCUUCUGUUUUGAAGGGGGUGGUUAUAGUAGUGAAUUUUCCGAGGAGGUUGAUUAAUUGCAAUGGAAUGCAUUGUUUAAUGUUUCAAUAUAUUUUUUUGUUGUUCUGUUUUCUGUGUCAUGGAGGUAUUCGAUAUUCAAAAUAGUUUGUCUAGACUGUGGAGUAUUGUUUUUGUUGAUUUUCUCUGUGUGUGUUUUAA